ACCACUGGAGGUGCCCGGAAACGGGCUGAGACAUACUCUUAAUACCUGAUCUGGAUUAUGCCAGCGUAGGGAAGUGGCAUA
rnacentral:ncRNA from 1 species